rnacentral:rRNA from 1 species
GACAGAAAGUGCAUGCGUUAUUCGGAUUGACUGGGCGUUAAGGGUAUGUAGGCGGCUAAAUUUGUAACUAGGUUGGAAAAGCUCAGGUAGCAUCUGAGAAGUCUUCCUAAAGAUUAUUAAGCUAGAGUUUGUGCUAAGUUGGGAGAAUUAGUGAAGUAACGGAGUUAAAUCCUGCGAUAUUACUAGGAAGGCCAAAGGCGGAAGCACCUCUCUCGCCCAAACUGACGCUGAGGUACGAAAGGUUGGGGAUCAAAGCGG